CGAGGAUUCCCUUAGUAACUGCGAGUGAAAGGGGAAAAGCCCAGCGCUGAAUCCUUCAGCCACUGGCUGCUAGGAAUUGUAGCGUAUAGGUGCGACUGUCCGUUCGUUUCGUGCACCCAAAGUCCCCUUGAGCGGGGCUAUAGUCCAAAGAAGGUGCUAGACCUGUACGGGUGGCGAAGCGAACGGUUGGUUGCUCCUUGGAGUCGGGUUGCCUGGGAUCGCAGCCCAAAGUUGGUGGUAGACCUCAUCUAAGGCUAAAUAUGGCCACGAAACCGAUAGCAAACAAGUACCGUGAGGGAAAGUUGCAAAGAACUUUGAAGAGAGAGUUCAAGAGGGCGUGAAACCGUUGAGAUUGAAACGGAUAGAGUUAACGAAACUCGGCUGCAUUCAUCCGAUCGGCCUAAUGGAUCAAUAGCGUUCGCAUCCUCGAUGAGGGCAACGUUAUCGUUAACUAUUGGGUAAUUGAUCGGUGUAUUUGCGGCUGGUAUGCGCUGAGAGUUUUGUGAUCGCAUGUUAACGGGUGUGCAGUGGACCAUUCCUUCCGGGUGUGGAAACCUUCACAUCUUUAGGCAUGUCGAUUAUAAAGUUUUGAACGUGGCGUCUCCGCUAUUGUGCGUCGACUUAUGCGUACUAUUGUGAUUAUUGAAUAUUCGCAUGCGAAUAUUUGUAGUUAACGAUAUUGCGACAAAAGUGCGGACGCGUUGAGACGUGUAUCUCGGUGUGAACGUUGACCACCUAUCCGA
rnacentral:rRNA from 4 species